AAAAGUCGUAACAAGGUCUCCGUUGGUGAACCAGCGGAGGGAUCAUUACUGAGUUUACGCUCUAUAACCCUUUGUGAACAUACCUAUAACUGUUGCUUCGGCGGGUAGGGUCUCCGCGACCCUCCCGGCCUCCCGCCUCCGGGCGGGUCGGCGCCCGCCGGAGGAUAACCAAACUCUGAUUUAACGACGUUUCUUCUGAGUGGUACAAGCAAAUAAUCAAAACUUUUAACAACGGAUCUCUUGGUUCUGGCAUCGAUGAAGAACGCAGCGAAAUGCGAUAAGUAAUGUGAAUUGCAGAAUUCAGUGAAUCAUCGAAUCUUUGAACGCACAUUGCGCCCGCCAGCAUUCUGGCGGGCAUGCCUGUUCGAGCGUCAUUUCAACCCUCAAGCUCUGCUUGGUGUUGGGGCCCUACAGCUGAUGUAGGCCCUCAAAGGUAGUGGCGGACCCUCCCGGAGCCUCCUUUGCGUAGUAACUUUACGUCUCGCACUGGGAUCCGGAGGGACUCUUGCCGUAAAACCCCCCAAUUUUCCAAAGGUUGACCUCGGAUCAGGUAGGAAUACCCGCUGAACUUAA
rnacentral:rRNA from 2 species